rnacentral:lncRNA from 10 species
CUCCAGCCUCCACCACCACAGUAGCUGGGACUACAGCUGUCACAUCUACCUGCGGAAUUCACCUUAUACCUUAGAGAGAGGCUGCAGUCAGUGACAGCUGAUGGGAAAUGCAUCUGUUCCUUUGAGUAAUUCAGCAACAUCAUUACUUCUCAGGUAUCUGUUGAGGGUGGAGCAAGCUACAAAUCGCUGAUGAAAUUCACUGUGUAGAAGCCGAGCUCGUGGGUUCUGCCACUUAUUAUCUUUGUGACUUUGGGCAAAGUGUCUCUUGGUGCCUCUGUUUCCUCCUCUGGAAAAAGACGUGCUGAUGAUAAUAGUACCUACUUCAUAGGGUGCUUGUGAAUGUUAAACGGGCUAAUACAUGUGAAGCACUCUCCACGGAACCCAGCAGGUAGCAUGUGCUGAGGACAGGCUCACCGUUGCCAUUAUAAUGCGUAUCCCUCAGUUGGCCAGUGGGGAACUUCCAGAUCUAACAGCCUGGUAUGGGCUGAACUGUGUCUCCCCCUACAAAUUCAUAUGUUGAAAGCCUACUCUCCAGUACCUCAGAAAGUGACUGUGUUUUUGAAUUUAGGGCCUUUAAGGUCAAACUGUCCAGGCGCCAUGGCUCAUGCCUGUAAUCCCAGCACUUUGGUAGGCUGAGGCGGGCGGAUCUCCUGAGGUCAGGAGUUCAAGACCAGCCUAACCAACAUGGUAAAAUCCCAUCUCUACUAAAAACACAAAAAUUAGCCGGGCAUGGUGGCAGGCACCUGUAAUCCUGGCUACUCGGGAGCCUGAGACAGGAGAAUUGCUUGAACCUGGGGGGUGGAGGUUGCAGUGAGCUGAGAUCAUGCUACUGCACUCCAGCCUGGGCAACAGAGCCAGACUCUGAAAAAAAAAAAAGAGGUAAUUAAGGUCAAAUGAAGUCAUGUGGGUGGGCCCUAAUCCAGUAUGAUUGAUGUCCUUACAAGAAGAGAUCAGGACACAGACACACAGAAGAAAGGCCACAUGAAAAUAUAGGGAGAAGAUGGUCACCUACAAGCCAAGGAGAGAGGCCCUCAGAAGAAACUGACCCUGCUGACACCUUGAUCUUGGACUGUUAGCCUCCAGAGUUGUGAGAGGAUAGAUUUCUGUUCUGUAAGCCCCCCCGCCUGUGGUGCUAAUAUCUUGGUACUUUGCUUUGGCAGCCCUAGCAAAUGAAUAUGCUGUCCAGUCACAAGCUCUGUCCUUGCAACUGGCUCCAACCUGGGGUUCUCUGCCCUUGAACCUUUCUGAUUCCCCCAUCCCUCUAGAUGCCCCUCAUCUCCAUCUCACAGCUUCCUUCGCCACUUUCUGUCCCCAGAGUGUAAAAUUCCCCAGGCUCUUCCUCAACACUUUUUCUUUCUAUAUUUCCCCGUGAGGAUGAACUGAUGGCCCAUUUUCAUAGAUCCAACUGCCACCUUUAUGCCCAGGAGUCCCAAAUCUAUAGCUCUAGUUUUACUCCCCUGAAAUCCACACAGACUUUCCAAAUGCCUGCUAGACAUCAUGAGGAUAUCUUGCUAAUAUACCCCCCACCAAGCUCAUUGUCUUUUCAUCCAGAUUUUUCCUCCUGCUUCUCCUCCCUCCCUUAAUGCCUUUAUCAUUGCCUUAGUGACCCCUGCUAUGAAAUCAACCAUUGUUUCCUUCUCUUAUCACCCUCUUUCCCCUAAGCCCUAUAACUCACUUCCCGAAGUUUCCUUUACUUUUCACUCUUUCCCCAUUCCCCGCUACACAGACCCAGGAUUCAUCUCUUGCCUAAUAUUUUUCAAUUUCUUCCUAAUGAUUUUCCCUACCUUGGGUUUCAGAUCUCCAUUUUUCAGGGAUUUUUUCCCCUAAAUUACAAAUAAUAUUUUCCUCUUGAAAUAUCUUACUGAUAUUUUGUUGCCUAAUUUAAC